rnacentral:rRNA from 1 species
AGGACGAACGCUGGCGGCGUGCCUAACACAUGCAAGUCGAACGAGGUCCAACCGGUGGCAACACUGGUGAAGACCUAGUGGCGAACGGGUGAGUAUCACGUGAGCAACCUGCCCCGAAGACUGGGAUAACACCGGGAAACCGGUGCUAAUACCGGAUACCCCCACCGGAUCGCAUGGUCUGGUGAGGAAAUGAAUUUUGCUUUGGGAGGGACUCGCGGCCUAUCAGCUUGUUGGUGGUGUAACGGACCACCAAGGCUUCGACGGGUAGCUGGUCUGAGAGGACGAUCAGCCACACUGGGACUGAGACACGGCCCAGACUCCUACGGGAGGCAGCAGUGGGGGAAUCUUGCGCAAUGGGCGAAAGCCUGACGCAGCAACGCCGCGUGAGGGACGAAGGCCUUCUGGGUUGUAAACCUCUUUCAGCAGGGACGAUGAUGACGGUACCUGCAGAAGAAGCCCGGCCAACUACGCGCCAGCAGCCGCGGU